rnacentral:rRNA from 1 species
GUCUUCUUUUGCUUAAAAAAAUAAUACUGACGUUUAAGUUUAAAAAGUAUCGGCUAACUCCGUGCCAGCAGCCGCGGUAAUACGGGGGAUACAAGCGUUUUCCAAAAUUACUGGGCGUAAAGUGUAUGUAGGUGGAUUGGUAUGUUCUUCCUUAAAUACUAUUUGAUAAAUUUAGAAAAAGGAAGAAAACUAUUAAUCUUGAGUUCGAUAAGGGUAAGAGGAAUUUUUUGAGGAGUAGUGAAAUGCGAAGAUACAAAAAAGAAGAUCAACAGCGAAAGCAUCUUACUGGGUCGAUACUGACACUGAGAUACGAAAGUUAAGGUAGCAAAUGGGAUUAGAUACCCCAGUAGUCUUAACUGUAAACAAUGGAUACUCGGUACUGGAGACAUUAAAUAUAUAAAUUCAGUACCCUAGCUAACGCGUUAAGUAUUCCGCCUGAGUAGUACGCUCGCAAGGGUGAAACUCAAAGGAAUUGACGGGGGCUCGUACAAGCGGUGGAGCAUGUAAUUUAAUUCGAUGUAACGCGAUAAACCUUACCAGAACUAGACUAAAUUUAUUUUAAAUUAUUAAUAUUAAUUAAUAAAAAAUUUACAGGAGGUGCAUGGCUGUCGUCAGCUCGUGUCGUGAGAUGUUGGGUUAAGUCCCGCUACGAGCGCUACCCUUAUUUAAAGUUUUUUAUAUCUUUAAAAACAGACUAUAUAAAUUUUUGUACUAAAUUAGUAGGAAGGAGAGGAAAACGUCAAGUCUUUAUGCCCUUUAUGUUCUGGGCUACAUACGUGCUACAAUAGAUGGUACAAUAAUUUUUAAAAAUAAAUACAAUAUCAAUUUAUUUUUAAUUUAUUUGUGAAAAUAAAUGUAAUAAUUGAAAACCAUUUUUAGUUCGGAACAUAAACUGCAAUUUGUUUAUGUAAAGUUGGAAUCGCUAGUAAUCGCCGGUCAGCAUUACGGCGGUGAAUAAGUCUUCGAGCCUUGUACACACCGCCCGUCACGCCACGGAAAUUGAUUAUUUUUUAAAACUUUUGAUAAAAGGAUAAAUAAUAAUAAAUAACUGGGGUGAAGUCGUAACAAGGUAGCUGUACUGGAAGGUGCUGCUGGAUAAUUU